GAUGAAGAACGUAGCGAAAUGCGAUAAGUAAUGUGAAUUGCAGAAUUCAGUGAAUCAUCGAAUCUUUGAACGCACAUUGCGCCCGCUAGUAUUCUGGCGGGCAUGCCUGUCCGAGCGUCAUUUCAACCCUCAAGCCCCCGGGCUUGGUGUUGGGGAUCGGCGAGCCUCCGCGCCCGCCGUCCCCUAAAUCUAGUGGCGGUCUCGCUGUAGCUUCCUCUGCGUAGUAGCACACCUCGCACUGGGAAACAGCGCGGCCACGCCGUUAAACCCCCAACUUCUGAACGUUUGACCUCGGAUCAGGUAGGAAUACCCGCUGAACUUAAGCAUAUCAAUAAGCGGAUGA
rnacentral:misc_RNA from 1 species